AACAAUCGCAGUCUACCCUUUCCUCUCUGACCCUUUGCCGCCGCCUCUGAUUUCUCACUGUGAAUACCACUAGAACGAAAGACCUCCCAAAGGCGUUCUUGAAACGAAAGUGCGAUAAGGGGUUAAAGAAAAAUCCAAGAAGAACUCUAUGUCUUCUUUUUCCUCUUUUGGAAUUCUAAGACAAAAUACCAAAACACAAAAAUUUUUGAUUCUUGUUAUAGUUUUCUUCCUCAAGACACAAGAAGUAAUAAAAAGGUUUUCUGAUAUGAGCGUUGAGCUCAGAUUUGUUCGCGGAUCCAUCGAGGUUGUCGCAUCCAAGGUUUCUGGUCCUAAACAUUUUCUGAUUCAAAGAGCUUUCGCUCCUGAGUUGAUCGAGUAUUCCGGUCUAAGUGGAGAGGGUCGAUUUUGUCGUCGGUGUGAGGUUCUGUUCGAGGCUCCGUUGUGUUCCUAUCCCCGUUGGCAUCUUUGGUCGCUGCUCAAUUUUUUCAGCCGGAUUUCCAUUGCUCUUCAACAUACAGAACUUUAAACUCAGAGUUUCAUUAAUCGAAAAGAAAUCCGCUCACUAAGAUCCAUUUCUUAUACCUAUUUUGUUUCAUCUCAUUAUACUAGUUGAUGAAUUGUGUUAA